rnacentral:tRNA from 1 species
GGGCCCGUAGCUCAGAUGGGAGAGCGUACGGUUCGCAUCCGUAAGGUCGAGAGUUCGAUUCUCUUCGGGUCCACCA